ensembl:lncRNA
GGGAGCAAAUCCACACCUGGCUGCUGCCGGAAACUGGAGGAAACUGGAGAUGCUACAUGAUUCUUAUGCUUCUUGAGCCUGAAAGAUGAGUAAACCGAGGCUUGCAGCGCUUAAGUGCCUCCUCGGAAGACUGCACAGACUGCACGAUGGGAGCUUCUUACUACCUGCAGCUGCAGGAGCAAAGAGCUGAUGCUGGGAAAGAUUGAAGGCAGGAGAAGAGGGUGACAGAGGAUGAGAUGGUUGGAUGGCAUCACCGAUUCAAUGGACAUGAGCUUGGGCAAACUCCAGGAGAUGUCCCCUAGCGGCUUCAGAGUCUCCCAAACCCUGACCCACACAGAUCUCUGCAAGAGGGAGAUUCCUCACUCACUCUGAUGAGUGAGGCUUCCUGUGACUGAGUGGCAUCUGCCUCCUGUGCAGAGUGGGAAAAGCGACCUGCAUUCUCCAUAAGAAGACCAAAUGCCCCAGGACUUCCCUGGCCGUCCAGUAAGACUCCAAGCUUCCAAUACUGAGGGUGCAGGUUCUAUCCCUGCUCAAAAGUUUUGUUUUGUUUUAAAAAAUAAAACCCGAGUGCCCCAAA